GAUGAACGCUGGCGGCGUGCCUAAUACAUGCAAGUCGAGCGAACGGACGAGAAGCUUGCUUCUCUGAUGUUAGCGGCGGACGGGUGAGUAACACGUGGAUAACCUACCUAUAAGACUGGGAUAACUUCGGGAAACCGGAGCUAAUACCGGAUAAUAUUUUGAACCGCAUGGUUCAAAAGUGAAAGACGGUCUUGCUGUCACUUAUAGAUGGAUCCGCGCUGCAUUAGCUAGUUGGUAAGGUAACGGCUUACCAAGGCAACGAUGCAUAGCCGACCUGAGAGGGUGAUCGGCCACACUGGAACUGAGACACGGUCCAGACUCCUACGGGAGGCAGCAGUAGGGAAUCUUCCGCAAUGGGCGAAAGCCUGACGGAGCAACGCCGCGUGAGUGAUGAAGGUCUUCGGAUCGUAAAACUCUGUUAUUAGGGAAGAACAUAUGUGUAAGUAACUGUGCACAUCUUGACGGUACCUAAUCAGAAAGCCACGGCUAACUACGUGCCAGCAGCCGCGGUAAUACGUAGGUGGCAAGCGUUAUCCGGAAUUAUUGGGCGUAAAGCGCGCGUAGGCGGUUUUUUAAGUCUGAUGUGAAAGCCCACGGCUCAACCGUGGAGGGUCAUUGGAAACUGGAAAACUUGAGUGCAGAAGAGGAAAGUGGAAUUCCAUGUGUAGCGGUGAAAUGCGCAGAGAUAUGGAGGAACACCAGUGGCGAAGGCGACUUUCUGGUCUGUAACUGACGCUGAUGUGCGAAAGCGUGGGGAUCAAACAGGAUUAGAUACCCUGGUAGUCCACGCCGUAAACGAUGAGUGCUAAGUGUUAGGGGGUUUCCGCCCCUUAGUGCUGCAGCUAACGCAUUAAGCACUCCGCCUGGGGAGUACGACCGCAAGGUUGAAACUCAAAGGAAUUGACGGGGACCCGCACAAGCGGUGGAGCAUGUGGUUUAAUUCGAAGCAACGCGAAAAACCUUACCAAAUCUUGACAUCCUUUGACAACUCUAAAGAUAGAGCUUUCCCCUUCGGGGGACAAAGUGACAGGUGGUGCAUGGUUGUCGUCAGCUCGUGUCGUGAGAUGUUGGGUUAAGUCCCGCAACGAGCGCAACCCUUAAGCUUAGUUGCCAUCAUUAAGUUGGGCACUCUAAGUUGACUGCCGGUGACAAACCGGAGGAAGGUGGGGAUGACGUCAAAUCUUCUUGCCCCUUAUGAUUUGGGCUACACCCGUGCUACAAUGGACAAUACAAAGGGCACCGAACCCGCAAGGUCAAGCAAAUCCCAUAAAGUUGUUCUCAUUUCGGAUUGGAUUCUGCAAACUCAACUACAUGAAGUCUGGAAUCGCUAGUAAACCGAAAAUCACCAUGCUACGGGGAAAUACGUUCCGGGGCCU
rnacentral:rRNA from 1 species